rnacentral:rRNA from 2 species
UGGGGAAUAUUGCACAAUGGAGGGAACUCUGAUGCAGCGACGCCGCGUGUACGAAGAAGGCUUUCGAGUCGUAAAGUUCUUUUAUAUGGGAAGAUAAUGACGGUACCAUAAGAAAAAGCCCCGGCUAACUACGUGCCAGCAGCCGCGGUAAUACGUAGGGGGCUAGCGUUGUCCGGAAUCACUGGGCGUAAAGGGUUCGCAGGCGGAAAUGCAAGUCAGGUGUAAAAGGCAGUAGCUUAACUACUGUAAGCAUUUGAAACUGCAUAUCUUGAGAAGAGUAGAGGUAAGUGGAAUUUUUAGUGUAGCGGUGAAAUGCGUAGAUAUUAAAAAGAAUACCGGUGGCGAAGGCGACUUACUGGGCUCAUUCUGACGCUGAGGAACGAAAGCGUGGGUAGCAAACAGG